rnacentral:rRNA from 1 species
CCCUUCGGGGUGAUGUUUAUGGAAUGAGCGGCGGACGGGUGAGUAACACGUGGGCAACCUGCCUGUAAGAUCGGGAUAACUCGCGGAAACGUGAGCUAAUACCGGAUAACACUUUUCAUCUCAUGGUGAGAAGAUAAAAGACGGUUUCGGCUGUCACUUACAGAUGGGCCCGCGGCGCAUUAGCUAGUUGGUGAGGUAACGGCUCACCAAGGCGACGAUGCGUAGCCGACCUGAGAGGGUGAUCGGCCACACUGGGACUGAGACACGGCCCAGACUCCUACGGGAGGCAGCAGUAGGGAAUCUUCCGCAAUGGACGAAAGUCUGACGGAGCAACGCCGCGUGAGUGAUGAAGGUUUUCGGAUCGUAAAACUCUGUUGUUAGGGAAGAACAAGUUGGGUAGUAACUGACCCAACCUUGACGGUACCUAACCAGAAAGCCACGGCUAACUACGUGCCAGCAGCCGCGGUAAUACGUAGGUGGCAAGCGUUGUCCGGAAUUAUUGGGCGUAAAGCGCUCGCAGGCGGUCUUUUAAGUCUGAUGUGAAAGCCCACGGCUUAACCGUGGAGGGUCAUUGGAAACUGGAGGACUUGAGUACAGAAGAGGAGAGUGGAAUUCCACGUGUAGCGGUGAAAUGCGUAGAGAUGUGGAGGAACACCAGUGGCGAAGGCGACUCUCUGGUCUGUAACUGACGCUGAGGAGCGAAAGCGUGGGUAGCGAACAGGAUUAGAUACCCUGGUAGUCCACGCCGUAAACGAUGAGUGCUAGGUGUUAGGGGGUUCCGCCCCUUAGUGCUGAAGUAACGCAUAAGCACU